GCUAUACCAUGUAAUAAAAAAAUGUGUAAAAUAUGUGGUUUACAAUCUGGCUGGUCAGAUGAUAUGGGAAUAAGAGAAUUUUCAUGGCUAAAUUCUUUUUGGUUAAAGAAAGGUAAGCACUUAUGAAGAAAUAAUAAGCUAAUAAAGAAUGCUUAAAGUGAUAGAGUAUUGAUUUAAUUCAUCUAGAGUAAAAAUUAUAAUAUUAUAAUCUAUCUGUAGUGUUUGACACUUUUUUAUCGAUUGUCGAUAUUUUAUUUUAAAUUAUUAUUAAAUUUUAUUUUAUUUAUUUUAAUUAAUUGUAUUUUUUUAUGGUAUCUAUAUUUUUAAUUAAUAAGUUUAAUGAACUUAAUAAAGUUUAUAAGUUUAUUAACCUUUAAAACCUUUUUAUUAUAUUUGUCGGAGGAAGCCAUUGAAGGAGUUGCUUGUUGAUUGUACGAUACUGCAUAAAAUUGUCUCUUUAUCAUGUAAACACAUUUUAGAAAUCUUAAUAUAAUUUAAUACGAAUUUUUACAUUGUUGUAAAGCCUAAAACAUGUUUCUAAUAACGGAUUUGUGAUUAUAUUUAAAGUAGGAAGUUAUUAAGUAGCCAUUGUCAACUGAAUUACUGUUUAACGCAUAGUGUGCAAUGUUUAAUGUUUAUUGAAAUUGUAAAAGCUUCUAAUAACUUUUAAUUUGAUCUUACUUUAUAAGUUACGUUUUUCCUAGACUAAAUAACAUUAUUAUCGUAAUUUAAGUAACGAGCAAUCAGAGCAGAGCACGUGGCUUGAGUGAGGUCGAGGCGCCAUCUAAAUAAGGCAGUUUGACAGUUGUUACGGGUUCAGUCGUGGAGUGAAGACGGAGCGAUUUGGGUCCUUGAAGUUGGUUCGUUAGUGGUGUUAAACAGUGGCGCUUUGAACUCAACUGCUCGGUCUUAACAGUUAUAAUUUCUCCCACCGAGAACGGAGGACAAGACCAUCACGCUGCCUAAAUUUGAACCGGAAGUAGCAGACAGCGAAGCACGUGCUUGGCUAGCAACGGCGGACAUCUGCUUAUCGGACCGCAAUAUACAGGGAAGUCAACUAGUUCUUAUACUUAGCAAAGCCAUGAGAGGUUCAGCCGCAACAUGGUUUUCCCAAAUAGCUUUUCCUAAUAUGAAAUGGAUUGAAUUUAAGGAAAUUUUUCUUUCCCGCUUUGAUACGCUUGAAACGUGUGCAGCGACGAUACUAAACACGCUAAAUAGUAAACCGCAAGAAGGUGAAAGCCUCGCUGCAUAUUCAAGUCGUCUGUUUACUCUGCUUAUGUCACGUUGGGAUAGUUUAGGUAAAGCGGAGAUAGUGGUAUCGCUAAUACUUGCACAUAUGGGGCAAAUAGAGCCGCGAUUACAACGUCACAUAUAUUCGAAAGAAAUAACUACCCGCAUUAAAAUGCAGCGAGAGUUGAUGGCCUUUUCUUACCGCAAAAGAAGCUACCAAGAGGCAGCGAAAACGCCCUAAGCUAAGUUCCAUAUCGACCAAAUGUUACUAUUGCGGAAAAUUUGGACAUAAAUCCUUUGAAUGUUUCAGCCGACCACAAGACAAGCAGCAAACAACACCGUUCUCCGAGCGCCCCAACACGGCCGUUGCUACUCAGACCUCUGUCACUGAGGGCCACGUAGCAUCACGGUGCUCGAAGGCAUUGCCGGUUGCACCAGCAGCGGCACCCGGCGUUGUGAAGCGAGUGGACAUGUGCGAUGUGAGACCUGUCACCGGAAUAAUCACUCAAUGUGGUGAGCGCUUCUCGUUUUGUUUUGAUUCCGGGGCUGAAUGUUCCUUAAUUAAAGAGAGCGUCUCUCGCAAGCUUCUUGGUCUAUUACAAUAUGCAAUUGUUACCUCGACCGGUGUAGGAAAAUCUAGCGUAUUAUGCGACUCGCAGAUCUUAUGUGGAGUCACUCUUAGUGGUCAUGACGUAGAAACUUUAUUUCACAUUGUGCCUGAUGAUUGUCUAAAUAACGACGCUUUGAUCGUACGCGACCUGUUGGAUUUAGGGUUAUCAGUACAUAUAACAAGCGAUAAACUCACUAUUGUUGAGAAACCCUCUCGAGUCAACAUUUGUAACGUGGGUAGUGCGGUGGUUGAUUUUCGUAACGCAGAUACCGAUAUGCCGGAUGAUCUUAAACCAAAGUUAUUAGACAUCCUAAACAUUUUUAAAGACUCGUUUGUCGAAGGCCUACCAGUAGAGUAAUGACAGGUGAACUAGAAAUUAAUUUAGUAGACCCUAACAAAAUUGUCCAAUGGCGGCCUUAUCAUCUCAGUCCGGAAGAGCGAACGAUAGUACGUAAUAAGUGUAGUGAACUAUUGUCUGCGGGAGUAAUUAGACCAAGUAAGUCUCCUUUUGCUAGCCCGAUACUUUUAGUAAAAAAGCGCGAUGGCACCGACCGGAUGUGCGUAGAUUACCGAGAACUAAAUUCCAAUACGGUUUCCGACCGGUACCUCCUGCCUUUAAUCGGGGAUCAAGUUCAGAGACUCGCAGGCACACGAUUCUACACGUGUCUUGACAUGGCCGGGUUUUAUCAAGUGCCUAUAAAUAUAGAGUCAAAUUCCAUUGAAAAAACAGCAUUUAUUACCCCUGAUGCUCAUUAUGAGUUUACUGCUAUGCCAUUUGGCUUAAAAAAUGCCCCCUCUGUGUAUCAGAGAGCCAUCAAUACAGCUCUAGGUGAGCUCUAGCGUACUCUUACGCAAUCGUUUAUAUGGACGAUCUGAUUAUACCCGCGGACAGUGUGGAGCAAGGUUUAGAACGUCUACAAGUUGUGCUAAAAACCCUCACUGAUGCUGGAUUUUCAUUCAAUUUGAAAAAAUGUGCCUUUUUAAAGAAACGGGUCCAGUUUUUAGGGUAUGAAAUAUCAGAGGGUGAAAUCAGACCCAAUCCUCGCAAAAUAACCGCGUUGACUAACUCCCAACCGCCGCAAACCAGUCAACUACGACAGUUUCUGGGCUUGGCAUCUUAUUUUAGGCAGUUUGUCAAUAACUUUUACUUAAGAUGGCACCACUCUACCGUUUGCUAGCCAACAAUAAUACAAAAAUAACUUUGACCACAGAGUGCGAAGCAGCUCGGCAGGACUUAUGUCCCCUCUGUGUAUCAGAGAGCCAUCAAUACAGCUCUAGGUGACCUAGCGUACUCUUACGCAAUCAACGCUUACUUCAUCCCCGGUUUUGAUCCUCUUUAAUCCAGAGCUGGCCAUAGAGCUACAUACAGAUGAGAGCAGUGAAGGUUACGGCGCGAUCCUCUUCCAAAGAGUAGACUCAAAAUUACACCCAGUAGAGUACUAUAGUAAACGCACUACGCCUGCAGAGUCUCGAUACCACUCUUAUGAGUUAGAGACACUAGCGGUUGUUAACUCUGUGAAGCAUUUUCGUCAUUAUUUGUAUGGCAGAACUUUUACGGUCGUUACUGACUGCAAUUCGCUGAAAGCGUCAAGGGCCAAAGUAGACUUAACCCCUAGAGUGCAUCGGUGGUGGGCCUUCCUCCAAGCCUUUGAUUUCGACAUACAAUACAGGGAAGGCAGGAGAAUGGCCCACGUCGACUUUUUCUCGCGAAAUCAUUUACCCGAGACAAACAACAUCGCCGCCGGUGAUACUCGUAGUUUAAAUAGAGAAAAUUACGUAGUAGAUAAACGCGUCAAUAUAGCUGAGCUAUCUUCUAACUGGUUACAAGCGGAACAACGGCGAGACCCCGAAUGUAAUGAAAUUAUUAGUAAAUUUGAAAGCGACGAUUUGUACUUAGAGAGUUGUAAAAUCUACGAAAUGCGAUCAAAUGUUCUCUACAGAAAAAUUCAAAGGAACAAUCGCAAUAUUUGGCUUCCAAUUGUACCUAGAGCGUUUCGCUGGUCGGUUAUAAAACAUAUUCACGAAUCUAUUCUUCAUUUAGGAUGGGAUAAAACGUUAGAAAAGGUAUACCAACAUUACUGGUUUCCAAAUAUGGCUAAAUACGUCAGAAAAUUUGUUGAAAAUUGCAUAACAUGUAAAGUAGCUAAAUCACGAAGUGGUAAACAGACAAAGUUACAUCCUAUACCGAAAACUAAUAUACCUUGGCACACGAUCCACAUCGACGCCACAGGUAAGCUCAGUGGCAAAAACGAUCAAAAAGAAUAUGUUUUUGUCCUUGUAGACGCUUUUACUAAGUAUGUGUUACUCAGGCAUUCCACAAGAAUUAACACCGAUAGUGCGAUCAGCGCUCUUAAAACGUCCAUAUCUCUCUUGGGGACCCCAGUCCGUGUCAUCGCGGAUCAAGGCAGGUGUUUGCCAACAAAGAUUUUAAGAAUUUUUGCGCAAGUCACAAUAUCCAUUUACACCUAAUAGCAACAGGCUCUUGCCGCGCGAAUGGCCAAGUAGAGCGCAUAAUGAGUACACUCAAAAACAUGCUAACAGUCGUAGAAACAAGCCCAAAUAAGUCAUGGCAGGACGCUUUAGACGAUGUCCAACUCUCUAUAAAGAGCACUAUUCAUAGAGUGACCAAAGCAAGCCCUCUGGAAUUGCUAAUAGGUAGAGUAGCUAGACCGUUAAAUUUGGUAACAGUAGACGAUCAUGAGAUUGAGAUAGAAGUGGAAGAGGUUAGAGAACAAGCCGAUAGGCUUAUAAAAACAAACGCAUGUCUUGAUAAAGCACGGUUUGAUAAAAACAAGGCAAAAGUCAUAUCGUUUUCUGUGGGAGAUUACGUUUUAAUAGAAAAUCACGAACGGAAUCAAACAAAAUUUGAUGCUAAAUAUAGAGGACCCUUUGAGGUAAUUGAAAUACUGGACGGUGACAGGUAUCAUCUCAAAAGUUUAAGUUGUAAUCGCACUUGCAAAUACGCGAGAGACCGCUUACGUCCACUUCCCCAUUCUUAUGUCCCAAUGGAACUGGAUCCGUGUCUCUCAGAUGACUGUGAUGAUAAUGAUGCGCGGCCUUCAACAUCACACGAGGGCGUGUGAUAUGUCAGGACGGCCGUGUCGGAGGAAGCUUUUGAAACACAUUUUAGAAAUCUUAAUAUAAUUUAAUACGAAUUUUUACAUUGUUGUAAAGCCUAAAACAUGUUUCUAAUAACGGAUUUGUGAUUAUAUUUAAAGUAGGAAGUUAUUAAGUAGCCAUUGUCAACUGAAUUACUGUUUAACGCAUAGUGUGCAAUGUUUAAUGUUUAUUGAAAUUGUAAAAGCUUCUAAUAACUUUUAAUUUGAUCUUACUUUAUAAGUUACGUUUUUCCUAGACUAAAUAACAUUAUUAUCGUAAUUUAAGUAACGAGCAAUCAGAGCAGAGCACGUGGCUUGAGUGAGGUCGAGGCGCCAUCUAAAUAAGGCAGUUUGACAGUUGUUACGGGUUCAGUCGUGGAGUGAAGACGGAGCGAUUUGGGUCCUUGAAGUUGGUUCGUUAGUGGUGUUAAACAGUGGCGCUUUGAACUCACUGCUCGGUCUUAAUAGUUAUAAUUUCUCUUUCUGAUUAUUAAUUAUCGGCUUGAAUGUGUAACUGUGAUUUUGUGUGAUUUAAACGUGCUGAAACUAAAUUAAAUAUUGUGAAAACUAUAA